GUCUUAACUACCUGGAGUCACUCAUUGGCACUUGGAAGUGUUACAGUGUGUUUACUGGGGAAGAAGACUCUUUUGAAUCAGGCAGGCCGGCACUUCCAGCAGCCCUGUCCACCUUGCUCCAGAGAAGAUGGUGUGGACGAUGGUGCAGAUAACACAAGCAUGGGAAGAGGAUGCCCUUUAGGCACAGAAGUGAGUGCCCUUUAAGAGUGGAGCAUGCUGGGAAAGCCAGCCUUUCAGGAGUUCAGUCUAGUGGAAGGACCUAUAAGAAGUGAAAGGACCUAGGGCAUGGCUGGGAGACCAGAUAUGCUGCCAAAGGGUUGUCAUUUGAUUUUUAUUGGGGUUUUUCCCAUUGUGUUUCUUUUGAUUGCUAAUAAAUCAGAGCUGAUUUUAACCCCCACUGUUUGGGUCAGUGCAUUUUUGCCAGACACUCCAGCGUCCCAUGCCAACAAGAUGGCAACAACUUGUGGUCAUUCCCAACCAUGCAUUCAGCUUUGAGCAAAACUGACAAUCAAAUGCAUCUAAAUACAACUCAGUGAAUCGUGUUCUUUC